GUUAUGGCUCAGUGGUAGAGCACUUGCUUAGCAUGUGUGAGGCCCUGGGUUCAAACCUCAGCAUCACA
rnacentral:tRNA from 1 species